UUUUUGAGUCUUCGCGAUGCUUUGCAUCGAUCUCUUUGUUUGGAGGGUAUUUUGGUAAGCUUGAUGGAUCACAUGCAUACGGCUUCAUGCAAGAGCAGAUGAGGCGGUCCCUCGCUUAUACGGCUCCACAGACAGCAAGGUUUCAAUAAGUUCCACAUCACAUUUUGGAAGGUCUUUAAAAGUCUCCCAUAAACAACUUUCAUAAGCAUGUUGCGGUUUAAAUAAUGUCGCAUGAGGAAGCUUUGACUUUUUCCAGUAGUCGUCCGGUGGCGAGCCACAAAGCUUAAAGAUUUUGUGCAAUUGUUCAACCUGUCACAUUUCCUAUUAAUUCUGAUUCAAAAAUAUAAUGCAGCAGCAUAGUCUUUCUUGAGAGCCAAAGAUAUAGCGUUUUGAACUACGAAAUCUAAUAAAGCCGUUAACUAUUUUCAACAAAAAUUGUUUCAAACGAUCGAUUGUUACAUAUAUUACUCUAUCUAUUAUACGGUUUUCCCUAUAAACCAUACUAUAGAAGCUAUUUUGAAUAGGGGUGAGCAGAAGAAAACCAGAAAACCGAAAAACCAAACCCAAAAAAAAAACGAUUUAAUUUAACCGAACCGCACAAAAAGAGCGGGAAAAAAACAAACCGAAAUUUACGAUUCGGUUACGGUUUUAGAUUUUAUGAAAACUGAAAUAACUGUAGCGAACCGAAUAACCUAAACAUUCAUUU
rnacentral:lncRNA from 1 species